rnacentral:lncRNA from 1 species
GGAAAACCGGGACACUAAUACAUUGUUGGUGGAAUUGUGAACAGAUCCAACCAUUCUGGAGAGCAAUUUGGAACUGUGCUCAAAGGGUUAUCAAACUGUGCACACCCUUUGAUCCAAGUCUGUAUUCCAAAGAGAUCAUAAAAAAGCAAAAGAGACUUACAUGUGCAAAAUGUUUGUGGCAGCCCUUUUUGUAGAGGCAAGAAACUGGAAACUGAGUGGAUGCCCAUCAGUUGGAGAAUGGCCAAAUAAGUGUGGGGAGCGCCAGGAAGAGACGUUUCUGUACAUCCAUCCUAUGACGGGAAUUAACCACAGGAUUUUAGAACUGGGAGGGGAUCGAUUCAUCCAACCAACUUUACAAUGAGGAAACUAAAAUCUAGUGAAGUUAGAUGACUUGUCUAUGACCACACAGCGAGAAAUGAUAGGUAUGAACUAAUAUCUUUUGACUCCAAAUUCAGUAUUCUUUACAUGAUUCCACUAUCUCUAGUUCUCUCAAUUGGAUUAUAAACUUCUUGGAAACAAAAGUCAAAUGUUCUAUAUUUUCCUAGUGUCAGCACAAUGUAAUAUAAAAAAUAGAGUAAUGAAAAAU